rnacentral:rRNA from 2 species
AGAACCUGAAACCGUGUACGUACAAGCAGUAGGAGCACCUUCGUGGUGUGACUGCGUACCUUUUGUAUAAUGGGUCAGCGACUUAUAUUCAGUGGCAAGGUUAACCGUAUAGGGGAGCCGUAGCGAAAGCGAGUCUUAACUGGGCGCUCAGUCUCUGGAUAUAGACCCGAAACCGGGUGAUCUAGCCAUGGGCAGGUUGAAGGUUGAGUAACAUCAACUGGAGGACCGAACCGACUAAUGUUGAAAAAUUAGCGGAUGACUUGUGGCUAGGGGUGAAAGGCCAAUCAAACUCGGAGAUAGCUGGUUCUCCCCGAAAGCUAUUUAGGUAGCGCCUCGGACGAAUACUACUGGGGGUAGAGCACUGUUAAGGCUAGGGGGUCAUCCCGACUUACCAACCCUUUGCAAACUCCGAAUAC